UGCCAGCCGCCGCGGUAAUACGGAGGGGGUUAGCGUUGUUCGGAAUUACUGGGCGUAAAGCGCGCGUAGGCGGAUUGGAAAGUUAGAGGUGAAAUCCCGGGGCUCAACCUCGGAACUGCCUUUGAUACUGUCGAUCUAGAGUCUGUGAGAGGGUGGCGGAAUACCCAGUGUAGAGGUGAAAUUCGUAGAUAUUGGGUAGAACACCAGUGGCGAAGGCGGCCACCUGGCACAGUACUGACGCUGAGGCGCGAAAGCGUGGGGAGCAAACAGGAUUAGAUA
rnacentral:rRNA from 1 species